AUGGUGGCUAUAUGUGCCAACACAUGUAAUGUAAUGCUGUCAGGUGUCAGUCAGAACCAAAAGGAAGAAAAAGAUGAAAAGCUUGUUCAGUUUGUGAUCUGUUCCGGUUCCCAGGUUCCGGUGUUUCACUGCAUACUCUCACCUGCUGCUGUGCUGCUAUUUACAGGCAACAAGUACGUGCGUCGUGCCGUUUGCUGCACAUCUCGACGGUCGUCAGGCAGCUGCAAAUGGAGCGAGAGAAACCAUCGGUCCCCGCCAGUCGCCGCGAUCCUCGGGCGGGAAAAAGAGAACGCGCGCGACUUCCGCGCCCAUCUCGGCAUGACAGAUUCCCAGCCGUGGAAACUCCCCGAGCGGCCCGCGCGAUCCUCUUUCUUCUUCCCGUUUCUGCGUUUCCCGCGCUAG
rnacentral:rRNA from 1 species